rnacentral:rRNA from 1 species
AACGAACGCUGGCGGCAUGCCUAACACAUGCAAGUCGAACGAGACCUUCGGGUCUAGUGGCGCACGGGUGCGUAACGCGUGGGAAUCUGCCCUUGGGUUCGGAAUAACAGUUAGAAAUGACUGCUAAUACCGGAUAAUGUCUUCGGACCAAAGAUUUAUCACCCAGGGAUGAGCCCGCGUAGGAUUAGCUAGUUGGUGAGGUAAAGGCUCACCAAGGCGACGAUCCUUAGCUGGUCUGAGAGGAUGAUCAGCCACACUGGGACUGAGACACGGCCCAGACUCCUACGGGAGGCAGCAGUGGGGAAUAUUGGGACAAUGGGCGAAAGCCUGAUCCAGCAAUGCCGCGUGAGUGAUGAAGGCCUUAGGGUUGUAAAGCUCUUUUACCCGGGAUGAUAAUGACAGUACCGGGAGAAUAAGCCCCGGCUAACUCCGUGCCAGCAGCCGCGGUAAU